GAUGAACGCUAGCGGCAGGCCUAACACAUGCAAGUCGAGGGGCAGCACGUCUUCGGAUGGUGGCGACCGGCGCACGGGUGCGUAACGCGUAUGCAACCUACCUCUUACAGUGGGAUAGCCCAGAGAAAUUUGGAUUAAUACCGCAUAGUAUACAGAUUCAGCGUUGGGACUGUAUUAAACAUUUAUGGGUAAGAGAUGGGCAUGCGUUCUAUUAGUUAGUUGGAGUGGUAACGGCACCCCAAGACAGCGAUAGAUAGGGGCCCUGACGAGGGGGGAUCCCCCGACACUGGUACUGAGACACGGACCAGACUCCUACGGGAGGCAGCAGUGAGGAAUAUUGGACAAUGGGCGAGAGCCUGAUCCAGCCAUGCCGCGUGCAGGAAGACGGCCCUAUGGGUUGUAAACUGCUUUUGUACGGGUAAGAAACACCCCCUCGUGAGGGGGCUUGACGGUACCGUAAGAACUAAGGAUCGGCUAACUCCGUGCCAGCAGCCGCGGUAAUGU
rnacentral:rRNA from 1 species